UUCCGGUUGAUCCUGCCGGAGGCCAUUGCUAUUGGAGUCCGAUUUAGCCAUGCUAGUUGCACGAGUUCAGACUCGUAGCAGAUAGCUCAGUAACACGUGGCCAAACUACCCUGUCGAGCGGAUCAACCUCGGGAAACUGAGGCUAAUCCCGCAUACGACUCUCAGGCUGGAACUGCAGAGAGUUCGAAACGCUCCGGCGCGACAGGAUGUGGCUGCGGCCGAUUAGGUAGACGGUGGGGUAACGGCCCACCGUGCCAGUAAUCGGUACGGGUUGUGAGAGCAAGAGCCCGGAGACGGUAUCUGAGACAAGAUACCGGGCCCUACGGGGCGCAGCAGGCGCGAAACCUUUACACUGCACGCCAGUGCGAUAAGGGGACUCCAAGUGCGAGGGCAUAGCGCCCUCGCUUUUCUGAACCGUAAGGUGGUUCAGGAACAAGUGCUGGGCAAGACCGGUGCCAGCCGCCGCGGUAAUACCGGCAGCACAAGUGAUGGCCGCUGUUAUUGGGCCUAAAGCGUCCGUAGCUGGCCAGGCAAGUCUAUCGGGAAAUCUCCCCGCUCAACGGGGAGGCGUCCGGUGGAAACUGCCUGGCUUGGGACCGGAAGAUCCAGAGGGUACGUCCGGGGUAGGAGUGAAAUCCUGUAAUCCUGGACGGACCACCGGUGGCGAAAGCGCUCUGGAAAGACGGAUCCGACGGUGAGGGACGAAAGCUCGGGUCACGAACCGGAUUAGAUACCCGGGUAGUCCGAGCUGUAAACGAUGUCUGCUAGGUGCGCCACAGGCUACGAGCCUGUGGUGUGCCGUAGGGAAGCCGUGAAGCAGACCGCCUGGGAAGUACGUCCGCAAGGAUGAAACUUAAAGGAAUUGGCGGGGGAGCACUACAACCGGAGGAGCCUGCGGUUUAAUUGGAUUCAACGCCGGA
rnacentral:rRNA from 1 species